rnacentral:lncRNA from 1 species
GUAAGGUCAUACCGUUCUGUUCCCGAGAUGAAGCAUUGCCAAGUUGACAGUACUUUAUAUAGUGGUUGAAACAUGCAAUAUGGCUUUUUUUCUUCUUCUUUUCACCUAUCUCAUUUUAUGGAAAGAGUUUAAGAAAUCUAGGAUUAGGUUUUAUUACUUUUAGAGAGGCAAUGAAGAAGUAAGCUAGAAUAUGCUGCCUCAUUUGCAUCAGAUUAGCUGUAGUAUUAAUUAAAGAUCUUUGGAUUCGCAGGCGGGUCAGUGGUAAGUGCUUGCCACAUAGGCAUGAGGACUUGAGUUUGGAUUCCAGAACCCCCAUGUUGGUGUACAGCAAUGUGAAUCUAAAAUCAAUCCCUUUGCUUCUAUGGGAUGUGGGAGGGGGCAGCAGAACUGUCAGGCAUGUGCAGCGAAUGAGAGACUUCCUCUUGAACUGGAAGAAGGGCGAUGCUCAAGAUUGUCCUCUGACCACCAUAUAUCUUACCACCUUGCUUGCAUGCACAUACAAAUCUAUUAAAAUGUUUUGUCAUGUAAAUGUGAUAUUACAUGAAACAUUUUUUAUACAUAUGAGAACAAACAUGUAUAAAACUUGAGAAACAUUAAUUUUAAUGAUGAUUAUUUUGGGAUUUUCCUAAUAUCUUAGCACUGUAUAGAAUGUGCUAUACUGACAUGAGCUAUGUCUGACAGUGAGGGAAAGGAGAGACUAAAAUUUCCCGGGCUGCCUAUGUGCCAAGUAGCAUGCUCAAGAGGAUUUGCUCUCUCAUGUGUGUAUGGUCUUAUAGGAGAUACAUUUUCAUUUUAUAGGGAAGGAACCUCACAUAUGUUCAUGACCUUGUGGGCGACACAGUUUCAUUUUCAUUUUAUAGGAAGGAACCAAAACAUGACAGAGCUCAGUAACGUGUUGAAUGCUGCCGUUUCGGCUGCAAGGUUUUCCCCACCACCUUGAUACUUGAAGAUGAAGAAAGUCAUAAAGCUAACAGAUGAGGACAAAUUCUUGAUUAAAUAUAAUAGUACUAGAGAGAAGUAAUAAUUUUAUGUAAAUAUCUUUAUUUUCCUCAAAGAGAAGAAGUAAAAAUGUCUUGUUUGGAAGGAAAUGACUUACAGAUUGUUUUGUUCAGUGUGUUGCACCUAUGUUGGUGUUUUUGUUUUGUUUUUCUUGUGUGUGCCUGUGUGCCCAUGCUACCUGAUAUGAUCCUGGGACCCACAUGCCAGUCCUCUGCAAGAGUAACAAAGACUCUUAACUUCUAAAGCCACCUAUGUCUCCAGCCUCUCAGUAAUUUAGUAAAAAAAAAAAAAAUCCAACAAUUUAACUAAUGAUUUCCAUUGGAGGGAAGUUAGCUUUUUGUUUUGUUUUUGUUUUUUGUUUUUUUAAAUAUAUAAAUAGAUGAGGCUGGGUAGUGGUGGCACACACCUUUAAGGCAGAGGUGGGAGAAUCUCUGGGUUGGAGGGUAGGCUGGUCUACACAGAGAAAUCUGUCUUAAAAACCAAAAAAAAAAAAAAAAAAAAAAUCC